rnacentral:tRNA from 2 species
GCUGCUAUGGCUCAGCAGGUAGAGCACGUCCUUGGUAAGGACGAGGUCACCGGUUCGAAUCCGGUUAGCAGCUCCA